AGCGGGGUAGAGCAGUCAGGUGGCUCGCCAGGCUCAUAACCUGGAGGUCGUUGGUUCAAAUCCAACCCCCGCUACCA
rnacentral:tRNA from 1 species